rnacentral:rRNA from 1 species
AGGCAAAGCCNNUCGGUGCCGCAGCUAACGCAAUAAGCAGUCCACCUGGGGNNNNNGUUCGCAAGAAUGAAACUCAAAGNNNUUGACGGGGACCCGCACAAGCGGUGGAGCAUNUGGUUUAAUUCGAAGCAACGUGAAGAACCUUACCUGCCCUUGACAUCCGAAUGACCGGUGAGUAAUGUCACCUUUCCUUCGGGACAUUCGAGACAGGUGGUGCAUGGUUGUCGUCAGCUCGUGUCGUGAGAUGUUGGGUUAAGUCCCGCAACGAGCGCAACCCUUAUCUUCAGUAGCCAGCGGCCAGGCCGGGCACUCUGGAGAGACUGCCAGGGAUAACCUGGAGGAAGGUGGGGAUGACGUCAAAUCAUCAUGCCCCUUANNNGCAGGGCUACACACGNNNUACAAUGGCGUAAACAAAGGGAAGCAAGUCCGCGAGGAUNAGCAAAUCUCAAAAAUAACGUCUCAGUUCGGAUUGUAGUCUGCAACUCGACUACAUGAAGCUGGAAUCGCUAGUAAUCGCGAAUCAGAAUGUNNNGGUGAAUACGUUCCNNGGUCUUGUACACACCGCCCGUCACACCAUGGGAGUUGGUAACGCCCGAAGUCAGUGACCCAACGGAAAGGAGGGAGCUGCCGAAGGUGGGACCGAUA